rnacentral:rRNA from 1 species
UACGUAGGCGGAAAAUUAAGUCAGUAGUGAAAUCCUGCAGCUUAACUGUAGAACUGUUAUUGAUACUGGUUUUCUUGAAUAUAGUUGAGGUAGGCGGAAUGUGUAAUGUAGCGGUGAAAUGCUUAGGUAUUACACAGAACACCGAUUGCGAAGGCAGCUUACUAAGCUAUGAUUGACGCUGAGGUACGAAAGCGUGGGGAGCGAACAGGAUUAGAUACCCUGGUAGUCC